GAUGAACGCUAGCGAUAGGCUUAACACAUGCAAGUCGAGGGGCAGCGAGGGUAGCAAUACCUGUCGGCGACCGGCGCACGGGUGAGUAACGCGUAUGUAACCUGCCCGCAACAGGGGGAUAACCCGGCGAAAGUCGGACUAAUACCGCAUAAAACAGGGGUCCCGCAUGGGAAUAUUUGUUAAAGAUUUAUCGGUUGCGGAUGGGCAUGCGUACCAUUAGGUAGUUGGUGAGGUAACGGCUCACCAAGCCUUCGAUGGUUAGGGGUUCUGAGAGGAAGGUCCCCCACACUGGUACUGAGACACGGACCAGACUCCUACGGGAGGCAGCAGUGAGGAAUAUUGGUCAAUGGGCGAGAGCCUGAAACAGCCAAGUCGCGUGAAGGAUGACUGCCCUAUGGGUUGUAAACUUCUUUUACAAGGGAAUAAAAUGAGAUACGUGUAUUUUAUUGCAUGUACCUUGGGAAUAAGCAUCGGCUAACUCCGUG
rnacentral:rRNA from 1 species